rnacentral:rRNA from 1 species
AGCCUGAUGCAGCCAUGCCGCGUGUGUGAAGAAGGCCUUCGGGUUGUAAAGCACUUUCAGUUGUGAGGAAGGUGGGUAGGUUAAUACCCGGCACAUUUGACGUUAGCAACAGAAGAAGCACCGGCUAACUCCGUGCCAGCAGCCGCGGUAAUACGGAGGGUGCGAGCGUUAAUCGGAAUUACUGGGCGUAAAGCGUACGCAGGCGGCUGARUAAGCCAGAUGUGAAAUCCCCGGGCUUAACCUGGGAAUGGCAUUUGGAACUGUUCAGCUAGAGUUUUGUAGAGGGUGGUAGAAUUUCAGGUGUAGCGGUGAAAUGCGUAGAGAUCUGAAGGAAUACCAGUGGCGAAGGCGGCCACCUGGACAAGAACUGACGCUCAUGUACGAAAGCGUGGGGAGCAAACAGGAUUAGAUACCCUGGUAGUCCACGCCGUAAACGAUGUCUACUAGUUGUCUGUGAGUUUAACUCGUGGGUAACGCAGCUAACGCAUUAAGUAGACCGCCUGGGGAGUACGGCCG